rnacentral:rRNA from 1 species
AUGCAAGUCGAGCGCGCCUUCGGGUGAGCGGCGGACGGGUUAGUAACGCGUGGGAACGUGCCCUUCUCUACGGAAUAGCCUCUGGAAACGGAGAGUAAUACCGUAUACGCCCUUUGGGGGAAAGAUUUAUCGGAGAAGGAUCGGCCCGCGUUAGAUUAGGUAGUUGGUGGGGUAACGGCCUACCAAGCCUACGAUCUAUAGCUGGUUUUAGAGGAUGAUCAGCAACACUGGGACUGAGACACGGCCCAGACUCCUACGGGAGGCAGCAGUGGGGAAUCUUAGACAAUGGGGGCAACCCUGAUCUAGCCAUGCCGCGUGAGUGAUGAAGGCCUUAGGGUCGUAAAGCUCUUUCGCCUGUGAUGAUAAUGACAGUAGCAGGUAAAGAAACCCCGGCUAACUCCGUGCCAGCAGCCGCGGUAAUACGGAGGGGGUUAGCGUUGUUCGGAAUUACUGGGCGUAAAGCGCGCGUAGGCGGAUUAGAAAGUUGGGGGUGAAAUCCCGGGGCUCAACCCCGGAACUGCCUCCAAAACUGCUAGUCUAGAGUUCGAGAGAGGUGAGUGGAAUUCCGAGUGUAGAGGUGAAAUUCGUAGAUAUUCGGAGGAACACCAGUGGCGAAGGCGGCUCACUGGCUCGAUACUGACGCUGAGGUGCGAAAGUGUGGGGAGCAACAGGAUUAGAUACCCUGGUAGUCCACACCGUAAACGAUGAAUGCCAGUCGUCGGAUAG